rnacentral:rRNA from 1 species
AUUGAACGCUGGCGGCAGGCCUAACACAUGCAAGUCGGGCGGCAGCGGAAAAGUAGCUUGCUACUUUUGCCGGCGAGCGGCGGACGGGUGAGUAAUGCCUGGGGAUCUGCCCAGUCGAGGGGGAUAACUACUGGAAACGGUAGCUAAUACCGCAUACGCCCUACGGGGGAAAGCAGGGGACCUUCGGGCCUUGCGCGAUUGGAUGAACCCAGGUGGGAUUAGUUAGUUGGUGAGGUAAUGGCUCACCAAGGCGACGAUCCCUAGCUGGUCUGAGAGGAUGAUCAGCCACACUGGAACUGAGACACGGUCCAGACUCCUACGGGAGGCAGCAGUGGGGAAUAUUGCACAAUGGGGGAAACCCUGAUGCAGCCAUGCCGCGUGUGUGAAGAAGGCCUUCGGGUUGUAAAGCACUUUCAGCGAGGAGGAAAGGUUGGUAGCUAAUAACUGCCAGCUGUGACGUUACUCGCAGAAGAAGCACCGGCUAACUCCGUGCCAGCCGCCGCCGUAA